rnacentral:misc_RNA from 1 species
CCGAGUUCAUGCCCUUACGGGGGUAGAUCUCCCACCCUGUGUUAUCAUUACCUUUGUUGCUUUGGCGGGCCGCCCGGCCUCGGUCAGGCUAUCGGCUUCGGCUGGUAAGCGCCCGCCAGAGGAUCCCAAAUCCUGGUUAUUAGUGUCGUCUGAGUACUAUAUAAUAGUUA